rnacentral:rRNA from 1 species
CAUUAAAGCGUGAUCAGGGGGUUUCAGAUGCCGCGCUCGCGUGUGCGCCCCCCCCGUCUUCUAGUCCCAUUUUCACACCUGUGCACCUAUGCGAGCGCCUCCCGUUGGAGCCGUCCCACGCUUUGUCGUCGGACCGGGGCGUUCCCAUCUAAAACUAUAUACACCCAUCCUGUCUUAUAACGCAUGUCAACGUCCCACGGGGCAAAAAGUUAAUACAACUUUCAACAACGGAUCUCUUGGCUUUUGCAUCGAUGAAGAACGCCGCGAAAGUGCGAAACGUAAUGUGAAUUGCAGAAUUCAGUGAAUCAUCGAAUCUUUGAACGCAUCUUGCGCCCCUUGGAAUUCCGAGGGGCAUGCCUGUUUGAGUGUCGUGAACCCAUCCUCAAGCUUGCCUCUUUGUUGAGGCGCGCUUGGAUUUGGACGUCUGCGGGGGGAGGGUGCCCGUCGGGUCCCGCCGCCCGCUCGUCUUUUAAAUGCAUUAGCUUUGGUCUUGGUCCCGGCGAGGGUGUGAUAACAAACGCUCGUUUCGUUGACCGUGGCGCCGCUUGUUGGCGACCGAGGCCCUGCUUCCAAUCGUCUUCGGACAAACGUACUCACGUGUACACAUAUGUCGUCUGACCUCAAAUCAGGUAGGACUACCCGCUGAACUUAAGCAUAUCAAUAAGCGGAGGAAAAGAAACUAACAAGGAUUCCCCUAGUAACGGCGAGUGAAGCGGGAUGAGCUCAAAUU